rnacentral:ncRNA from 12 species
GGCCCUUGAAGUGGAGAUUUCGUGUCAUCCAUACGCCCACGUGGUCAAAAGAGAUGCAGGGGAACGGCACGCCUGCCAAGGGCU